rnacentral:rRNA from 1 species
CCAAUAGCGUAUAUUAAAGUUGUUGCAGUUAAAAAGCUCGUAGUUGAAUUUCGGGAUCAAGGGAUCGGUCAUGCCUUGGUAUGUACUGGUCUUAUUGGUUCUCACCUUCUAAAGAACCAUGAUGUCAUUCAUUUGAUGUUAUGGGGAAUUAGGACUGUUACCUUGAAAAAAUUAGAGUGUUUAAAGCAAGCUUACGCUUGAAUACAUUAGCAUGGAAUAAUGAAAUAGGACAUCAGAUUCUAUUUUGUUGGUUUCUAGGAUCGAUGUAAUGAUUAAUAGGGAUAGUUGGGGGCAUUAGUAUUCAAUUGUCAGAGGUGAAAUUCUUGGAUUUAUUGAAGACUAACUACUGCGAAAGCAUUUGCCAAGGAUGUUUUCAUUAAUCAAGAACGAAAGUUAGGGGAUCGAAGACGAUCAGAUACCGUCGUAGUCUUAACCAUAAACUAUGCCGACCAGGGAUCGGAUGAUGUUAAUUUUUUAAUGACUCAUUCGGCACCUUACG